GAUGAAGAACGCAGCGAAAUGCGAUAAGUAAUGUGAAUUGCAGAAUUCAGUGAAUCAUCGAAUCUUUGAACGCACAUUGCGCCCUUUGGCAUUCCGAAGGGCACACCUGUCCGAGCGCCGUCGCACAACUGAGGCGCAGCCUUGCGUUGGCGGGCGACUUGUGAGUAGCGAGUCGCCGGCCAAACGAGACGGCGCCGCGCCGCGGCCGACGAAGCACGAAAGCGGAAGUCGACGCGGAGGCGGUUGCCUGUAGGAAGACACAGCUUGGCCUCGGAUCAGGUGGGGAUACCCGCUGAACUUAAGCAUAUCAAUAAGCGGAGGA
rnacentral:misc_RNA from 1 species